UCCCGAUAGCUGAAAAGCAACCAAAUGAGGUCGGGAUCCGCAGAGGACCACCCUGAAGAUGCUCAUACUGUAUGCAGCUGCCCUUUAAGAAGCAUCACUGGGUCACAUCAACAUAAAAACACGAAAAUGGCAACGCGUCACGAGCACAACCACACAGGCAAACUCUUAUGGACCUGUACGAGAUAUAUAACUUAAUGAAGCCCCC